GCAUUGGUGGUUCAGUAGGAGAAUUCUCUCCUUCCAUGAAAGAGACCUGGGUUCCAUUCCCAGCCAAUGCA
rnacentral:tRNA from 1 species